CCUACGGGAGGCAGCAGUGAGGAAUAUUGGGCAAUGGACGCAAGUCUGAACCAGCCAUGCCGCGUGCAGGAUGACGGCUCUCUGAGUUGUAAACUGCUUUUGUACGAGGGUAAACGCAGAUACGCGUAUCUGUCUGAAAGUAUCGUACGAAUACGGAUCGGCUAACUCCGUGCCAGCAGCCGCGGUAAUACGGAGGAUUCAAGCGUUAUCCGGAUUUAUUGGGGUUAAUGGGUGCGUAGGCGGUCGGAUAAGUUAGAGGUGAAAUCCCGAGGCUGAACCUCGGAAUUGCAUCUGAUACUGUUCGGCUAGAGUGUAGUAGCGGUAGGCGGAAUGUAUGGUGUAGCGGUGAAAUGCUUAGAGAUCAGGCAGAACACCGAUGGCGAAGGCAGCUUACCGGGCUACUUCUGACGUUGAGGCACGAAAGCGUGGGGAGCAAACAGGAUUAGAUACCCGAGUAGUC
rnacentral:rRNA from 1 species